rnacentral:rRNA from 1 species
UACGGAGGGUGCGAGCGUUAAUCGGAAUUACUGGGCGUAAAGGGUGCGUAGGUGGUUGUAUAAGUUAUCUGUGAAAUCCCUGGGCUUAACCUAGGCAGGUCAGAUAAGACUGUAUGACUCGAGUAUAGGAGAGGGUAGUGGAAUUUCCGGUGUAGCGGUGAAAUGCGUAGAGAUCGGAAGGAACACCAGUGGCGAAGGCGGCUACCUGGCCUAAUACUGACACUGAGGCACGAAAGCGUGGGGAGCAAAC